rnacentral:rRNA from 1 species
AGAGUUUGAUCCUGGCUCAGGAUCAACGCUGGCGGCGUGCCUAAUGCAUGCAAGUCGAACGGGGUGCCUUCGGGUACUUACGUGGCGGACGGGUGAGGAACACGUGGGCAAUCUGUCCUGAGGUGGGGGGUAGCCUUCGGAAACGGAGGGUAAUUCCGCAUGUGCACGUUGACCUGUGGGGUUGAUGUGGAAAGAUCUUCGGAUCGCCUGAGGGGGAGCCUGCGGCCGAUUAGCUAGCUGGUGGGGUAACGGCCUACCAGGGCGGUGAUCGGUAGCUGGUCUGAGAGGACGGCCAGCCACAUGGGGACUGAGACACGGCCCCAACUCCUACGGGAGGCAGCAGCAAGGAAUUUUCCGCAAUGGGGGAAACCCUGACGGAGCAACGCCGCGUGCGGGAUGACGCUUUUCGGAGUGUAAACCGCUUUUCUCAGGGAAGAUGAAGGACGGUACCUGAGGAAGAAGGCCCGGCUAACUACGUGCCAGCAGCCGCGGUAAUACGUAGGGGCCGAGCGUUGUCCGGAGUUAUUGGGCGUAAAGCGCGCGCAGGCGGCUUGUUGCGUCCGACGUGAAAGCCCCCGGCUUAACCGGGGAGGGUCGUCGGGUACGGACAGGCUUGAGGGCGGGAGAGGGUGGUGGAAUUCCCGGUGUAGUGGUGAAAUGCGUAGAGAUCGGGAGGAACACCUGUGGCGAAGGCGGCCACCUGGGCCGACCCUGACGCUGAGGCGCGAAGGCGUGGGGAGCGAACGGGAUUAGAUACCCCGGUAGUCCACGCAGUAAACGAUGCAGACUAGGCGUAGGUGGACUUGACCCCAUCUGUGCCGGAGCCAACGCGGUAAGUCUGCCGCCUGGGGAGUACGGCCGCAAGGCUAAAACUCAAAGGAAUUGACGGGGGCCCG